rnacentral:rRNA from 1 species
GAUGAACGCUGGCGGCGUGCUUAACACAUGCAAGUCGAACGGAAAGGCCCAAGCUUGCUUGGGUACUCGAGUGGCGAACGGGUGAGUAACACGUGGGUGAUCUGCCCUGCACUUCGGGAUAAGCCUUGGAAACUGGGUCUAAUACCGGAUAGGACCACUUCUUGGAUGUUGUGGUGGAAAGUUUUUUCGGUGUGGGAUGAGCUCGCGGCCUAUCAGCUUGUUGGUGGGGUAAUGGCCUACCAAGGCGUCGACGGGUAGCCGGCCGGAGAGGGUGUACGGCCACAUUGGGACUGAGAGACGGCCCAGACUCCUACGGGAGGCAGCAGUGGGGAAUAUUGCACAAUGGGCGCAAGCCUGAUGCAGCGACGCCGCGUGGGGGAUGACGGCCUUCGGGUUGUAAACUCCUUUCGCUAGGGACGAAGCGUUUUGUGACGGUACCUGGAGAAGAAGCACCGGCUAACUACGUG